GCAGAGAGUAUAAUGAAGAAUCUCAGGCGGGUACAUCCCAUUUCCACCAUGAUUAAGGGACUUUAUGGCAUAAACGAGGACGUCUUCCUCAGUGUCCCGUGCAUCCUGGGACAGAAUGGAAUCUCAGACGUGGUGAAGGUGACCCUGACAACUGAGGAAGAGGCCCAAUUGAAGAAAAGUGCAGAUACACUUUGGGGGAUC